rnacentral:lncRNA from 1 species
UCUAGUUUGUUGAGUCUGUCCUCUCCAAUAUGGCCUAGCCUAAGGUGCCACAGAUACUUUUAGCUAAUUCUAUCUCUAAGUCUCUUAGACUCUAUGGAAUUCAUAAUUUACUUAUUAAUAUUUACACUCACAUCCAUAUGCAAAUGAUAAAGACCAUCAAUCAAGAAAACACGUGCAACAACUGUAUUUUUGAAAUAAACCAACACAUAUUUUUAUUAAAAUAAAAAUUAUAAUUAUCCUGUGCCAGC